AUGUUCACUUCAGUCCUGCUUUACUCUCAAAUCAGUUAUGGACAUUGGACAUGCAGUACUUAAGACAAGUUAUUAAACAGUUAAAGUUUAAUUUAAAAUGUUAAUAAUGCAGUAUGUAUAAAAUAUCACAAAUACAGAUGUUAGCAUAUUAAAAGAGUUUAUACCACAGUGCUGCUGAAUUCUGGAUUCUGAUUGGUCAGUGAAGAAGGAGUGGCCUCUAUGACUCAGUUCUGGUAAAUAAGGCGUGGCUUCUGUGUCUUAGUCAUAGUAUAGGAGGCGUGGCCUCUGUGUGUCAGUCUCAGUGAAGGAGGCGUGGCCUCUGUAUGUCAGUCUCAGUGAAGGAGGCGUGGCCUCUGUGUGUCAGUCUCAGUGAAGGAGGUGUGGCCUCUGUGUCAGUCUCAGUGAAGGAGGUGUGGCCUGUGUGUGUGUCAGUCUCAGUGAAGGAGGUGUGGCCUCUGUGUCUGUCUCAGUGAAGGAGGCGUGGCCUCUGUGUGUCAGUCUCAGUGAAGGAGGCGUGGCCUCUGUGUGUCAGUCUCAGUGAAGGAGGCGUGGCCUCUGUGUGUCAGUCUCAGUGAAGAAGGCGUGGCCUCUGUGUGUCAGUCUCAGUGAAGGAGGUGUGGCCUCUGUGUGUCAGUCUCAGUGAAGGAGGCGUGGCCUUUGUGUGUGUCAGUCUCAGUGAAGGAGGCGUGGCCUCUGUGUGUGUCAGUCUCAGUGAAGG